UACGAAGGGGGCUAGCGUUGCUCGGAAUCACUGGGCGUAAAGGGUGCGUAGGCGGGUCUUUAAGUCAGGGGUGAAAUCCUGGAGCUCAACUCCAGAACUGCCUUUGAUACUGAGGAUCUUGAGUACGGGAGAGGUGAGUGGAACUGCGAGUGUAGAGGUGAAAUUCGUAGAUAUUCGCAAAGAACACCAGUGGCGAAGGCGGCUCACUGGCCCGAUACUGACGCUGAGGCACGAAAGCGUGGGGAGCAAACAGGG
rnacentral:rRNA from 1 species